CUACGUGCCAGCAGCCGCGGUAAUACGUAGGGCGCGAGCGUUGUCCGGAAUUAUUGGGCGUAAAGAGCUCGUAGGCGGCUGGUCGCGUCUGUCGUGAAAUCCUCUGGCUUAACUGGGGGCUUGCGGUGGGUACGGGCCGGCUUGAGUGCGGUAGGGGAGACUGGAACUCCUGGUGUAGCGGUGGAAUGCGCAGAUAUCAGGAAGAACACCGGUGGCGAAGGCGGGUCUCUGGGCCGUUACUGACGCUGAGGAGCGAAAGCGUGGGGAGCGAACAGGAUUAGAUACCCUGGUAGUCCACGCCGUAAACGUUGGGCACUAGGUGUGGGGGGCCUUUUCCGGGUCUUCCGCGCCGUAGCUAACGCAUUAAGUGCCCCGCCUGGGGAGUACGGCCGCAAGGCUAAAACUCAAAGGAAUUGACGGGGGCCCGCACAAGCGGCGGAGCAUGCGGAUUAAUUCGAUGCAACGCGAAGAACCUUACCAAGGCUUGACAU
rnacentral:rRNA from 1 species